GUAAAACUUGACCUUUUCUUGACACUUGAACCGGAAUAUAGUAGUGUUUCUCUGCCGGGUCACACAACGUCAUACGUUCCACCGCCACUGCUGCCGCUUCCUGUCGAGUCCAGGCAGGCACACGCCGCAGGCCCGCUUCACGCCUUACCGUUAUUUGACUUUUUUGUCCAAUGCUGCUCCAGAUCCUUCAGACUUCAAACACCAGAACUGCCGCAUGCUGCUCAGGACCUGCGGACGGAAUGUGCUAGAUUGGAAAACCUCUACGGCUUUUUGCCCGAAUGAGGGAGAGCUGGUGGGUUUGGUGAUGGUGUUGGAUACAGCUGUAGUCUUCAUGGAUCAUGGCGAGGAUGACCACUCUGAAGGCAGUAGGGAUUGCUUGGAACUGAAGAACUCUAAAGCUGCCAAAACCAGAAACAACACUGAAACCAUGCUACGACCUCAGGCUAGAAGGAGUAAUGUUUCCAAGCAGGAGAAAGCCCCCCCAAACUGGUUCUUGGCUCAGAAAGACACUGAGCAUGUGGUAGCGAGCAAACAAGUGUCAAAAGCAUGUGCCACAGCCAGACCUCAACUCUGUCGGCCUGUCAGCUUUGACAUGACAUCUCAGUGCCUGCAAAGGUCUCAGGAGCAGAUUGCAGACAGCCGGCUUACUAGGCUGACUAGCCUCAGCCUGGGUGCUGGUGGUUGGAUCCGCCGCAGUGAGAGCACAUCCUCAGUCACCCACUCCCUGGGGCUGAGUGCUAAACAGGGGAAAAUGCGAUCUGCCACGUCUCUACCACACAUUGCUAAAGCCGUGAAAAGCAGCACACUGUCCCCGUCCACAUGGCCAUGUCUGCUGGUUGCGCUCAGGCCUGUGAACCUUGAGCAGGAGAAGCAUAAGUUCUUCCAGUGUGACUACAAGUAUGACCCCCAAUUCAAGUAUGCUCAGCCGGAGCCGAAGUCUGUGCUAGACAAAUACUGCGAGGGCUCUGAUUUCUUUCUCGAGCAGGCUGUUGGAAUCAUGGAGUGUGUCCUGAAGAAGUUUGGCUCCUAUGAGAAUUUUGAGGAGGUCACAGGUGGUACUGUGCUUCCCAAGAGUCAGGUGUGGGCCACUGUGCGGAAAUAUUUGCAAAAGGAAGGCUGUGUAGGGUCCAAGAAUGGCAAACCGGACACGCUUUCGCGGGUCCACGAGGGGGAUCGGGAGGAACCAGCGGCCAUUCCAGUCUUGCCUGAGGCAUGCUUCAUGUCCGGCUUCACCUGGGAGGUAGAGACACAGAUUCUCCAAGAUGGUCCACUUCAUGCCGGCCCCGAAGAUCUCGUCUGCCAAGCAGACAGCCCAGUUGCUGCUGGACGAGGUCAUUCGAUACCACAGGCUUCCAGUGGAUAUCGUGUCGGACAGAGGACCGCAGUUCAUCUCGCGUUUCUGGAAGGAGUUCUGCACCCUCAUCGGCGCUUCGGCAAGUCUGACAUUAGGCCAUCACCCGGAGUCCAGUGGCCAGACAGAGAGGGUAUGGCUCCGUUCCAUGUUGUGCAUGGCUACUGCCCCUCUCUGUUCCCUUCGGUUCCCAUGGACUCCGCGGUGCCGUCGGCCCUGGCGGUGGUACGUCGUUUUAAGCGGACCAGGGAGACAGCACGCAGGACGCUACUGCGCAUGGGCAGCGCCUAUAAGUCUGCAGCGGACCGCAAGAGGAGAGGCGCGCCGACGCUCAAGGUGGGACAGCGAGUGUGGCUAUCCAUCAGGGACCUUCCGCUGCGGACUGAGUCCCGCAAGCUGUCCCCCAGGUCGAGGAAGGUCCACCCGACGUUCCACGUGACCAGGCUCCGCCCGACCCGUCCGUCGCUGCUGGUUCCUCCGGUCCCACUCCCGUUCGGCUCUUAAUGCGGUUGUGGUGCGUCUCUCUGACGAGUUGCUAUCUCAGGCUGUCAUGAUGGUGGAGAGCUGUCGUCCCACUCUGACCAUCAACCUGGCUGGAGCCCGCCAGCACUGGGUGGAGGGGAUGCUGAGACACGAAAUAGGCUGGUGCAACUGGUUAGAUCGUUGGCCUUACUGUUCUGAGGACUGAGGUUGAAAUCUCGGCCCCGCCUGUGUGGAGUUUGCAUGUUCUCCCCGUGGAUGUGGUGAACCGUGCCUCCUGCCUGAUGAUAGCUGGGAUAGACUCCAGCACUCCCGUGACCCUUGUGAGGAUAAGUAGCUCAGAAAUGUAAAUAUGUUACCAUCUUGAUGAUUGCUGCAUUCUUUAGUUUUCAUCUGAUAACAAGACAAUACCAGACUCCUUCUGAAUCCUCCUCAUCGUAGGAACAUUGACAACUUCUAUUAUCAAUGGCAUUGUCCUCUGUCUCUAAAAGGACCUAUUUGUCUGAUAUAUCUUAGGCUGCAUCACUAUCACAGUUCAAAAUCUGUGACAUUUGUCAAACUUCUGGGGCUUAUAUUUGGUGUGUUAGUUAAAGGUGACACGAGAACAGUGACAAGGCAAGGUAGAGAAGGUUCCUCCUUUACACACACCUAGGUCUGAAUGGCUGUUUAGAGGUAAUCCAAAUAAAGUACAUCAUAAAGCCAUGUUUAUUUUGGAUCUGAACAGCUACCUUCCCUACAUUAAAGACCUGCAACAUCAUCCUUGUAUACAAACUCUGCACAGACAUUCCACUACACAUAACACUUUGCAGAUUUUGCGCACUAGUUGAUGAAAAGUUGUGAAAUUUCGUGAAGAAAAGGAUAGAUUGUACUUUGACCAACACAAAAACGAAAAAAGGGUCAAAUUGACCCAUAACAUAAUACAAGGGUUGGAACAGUGUUUACAUGCAAACAUUAUAGAUAUUUUUUUUUUACUAAAAAGUUUUGUCUUUCCAGUUCUGCAUUAGUUGAGGCCCCUUUAAAUCUAUUUGGAAUAAAAAAAAUCCACUGUACCAAUGGGGCAUGGAAAGAAACAAUUGCAUUUUAAUGUAGGUUGAGCUGCAUCUUAGCUCGUGUUUACUACGUGUACUUCAUUGUCACAAGAUCUAGGUUGGAAUCUCGAUUGGAACAGCUCUCUCUGGGAUUAUGAUGUUGUCCCUGAGCUUGCAAGGGUCAAACUGCCUCCCACAUACCAAGAACUGUCUAGAUUAUAGCUUGUCCUUUUAUGUAAAUAUACGUGUGAAUAGUUUAAUACCUUUCUGAGAUUGAUUGGCAACCAGUCCAGUCCACCCCUUAAUCGCAUUAUUUUUUUAGUCUUAGCAAAGGUUUUCUCUUUGUACAUUCUAUUUUUUUCAGA